AGGGAGACCAGUUAAUAGCCAUAUUCUGGACUGUUAGCCACAGAAGAAGCACCGGCUAACUCCGUGCCAGCAGCCGCGGUAAUACGGAGGGUGCGAGCGCAUAAUCGGAAUUACUGGGCGUAAAGCGCAUGCAGGAACCGAUGAUUAAGUCAGAUGUGAAAGCCCGGGGCUCAACCUCGGAGUUGCAUUUGAAACUGGCCCCAUCAGAGUACUGUAGAG
rnacentral:rRNA from 1 species